UGGUGCCCUGUGUCCAAGCUGUUUCAGCCAUGACUAAAAGAGGGCAAGGUACAACUCAUGCCAUGGCUCCAGAGGGUGCAAGCCCCAAGCCUUGGAAGCUUCCAUGUGGUGUUGAACCUGCAGGUUCACAGAAAUCAAGAGUUGAGGUUUAGGAAUCUCUGCCUAGAUUUCAGAGUAUGUAUGAAAAUGCUUAGAUGUCUAGGCAGAGGUAUGCUGCAGGGGAGAGGCCCUCAUGGAGAACCUCUGCUAGGGCAGUUAGGAAGGAAAAUGUGGGGUUGGGACCCCCACGCUGAGUCCCUAAUGGGCCUCUGCCUCGUGAAGCUGUGAGAAGAGGGCCACUGUCCACCAGACCCAAAAAUGUUAGAUCCACUGACAGCCUGCAGUGUGCCUGGAAAAACCACAAACACUCAACACCAGCCUGUGAAAGAAGCCAGGAGAGAGGCAGUUGUACCCUACAAAGUCACAGGGGCCAGCCUGCCCAAGGUCGUGGCAGUCCAGCUCUUGCAUCAGAGUGACCUGGAUGUGAGACAUGGAGUCAAAGGAGAUCAUUUUGGAACUUUAAGUUUUAAUGAGUGCGCUAUUGGAUUUCAGACGUUCAUGGGGCCUGUAACCACUUUGGUUUGACCAAUUUCUCACAUUUGGAAUGGAUGUACUUACACAAUGCCUGUACCCUCAUUGUAUCUAGGAAGUAACUAACUUACUUUUGGUUUUGCAGGCACAUAGGCAGAAGAAACUUGUCUUGUCUCAGAUAAGACUUUGGACUUGGACUUCUGAGUCAAUGCUGGAAUGAUUCUCUUGCCUGCCACCAUGUAAGAUAUGCUUUUACUCUUCCGCCUUCCACCAUGAUUGUGAGGCCUCCCCAGCCAUGUGAAACUGCCUUUGAGCUUAUACUGAAUUAUACCACCAGCUUUCCUAGGUCUUGAAGCUUACAGACAGCAGAUCUUGGGACUUCUCAGGCACCAUAAUCAAUCAUAGAUAAAUGAUCCAAUGAUUCAGAACUUGAAAAGUGGUAGCUUUAUGAAUUCUCCUUAAGAAGAAACCUGUGCCCUGAUCUUGCCUACUCACCCAAAGGCACUGUGAGAUAGCAUCAAAGGAACAGCUAGUAAGAGACACAGAGCCAGAAAUCAGGGAAGUAAAAUACACUUGACAUCUACGUUUGGAAAGAAAUUUUAGGAGGCAGAAGCAAAUGGAUCAGAAGCUGCUUAUAUUUUUGCAAGAUUACCAAAGAAACCAUUGGUGGAGAAAGUUCUGUGACCAACUUGUCUGAGUCUAGUAAGAUUGAACGCUCACACACAAGUUUCAUGAAGUGGGUUUGAUACUUACAGAUAAGCAGCAAGGACCAACAGGAGCUGAUGAUCUAUGGUGAACUUUUUCCCAAGGCUCCGGAAAGCUGCCUAAAGUAGAUGGAGUCUUCUCUGUGUGUGCCCCACUGGUCCUGCAGUUGAAGGAUCCGGUAAAGCAGCCUGCCCUGGGUUUUAUACUCCAGAGGAACGUGAUUCGCUGGACUAUAGCAUUGAAGUGCAUCCUGUUUCCGGGGGGCACUGGAACAGAGCCUGGUCUGUUCUAGCCAGUCCCUUUCUAUCUCAGGAUGUUGCAUUCCCAGUACAUUCUACAGUUAUUCUUGAGAACUAUAAUCAAAUAAGGAGGGAGAACUGGGAAAGCAGAGACUCACUGUGGAACCCUCAAGGAGCAUGUGGUCAUCUUCAUCCUUCAGUUUAUAAAUGGCCAAGGAGAGUAAUGCAACAAAAACUUCUCAGAGUUAAGAGCCAGAGUUCCUAAAGAACCGUGGACAAAGGGUUCUGUCUAGUGGGCAGAAUUCAUCCAGCGAAGGUCUCCUAACUACAGAGGGUCACAUCUGGAUCUGAUGGCACCUACAGAACUUGGACUCUGAGCGACAAUCAGUGACCAGGAAAUUUGGAACCCAGGUUUUCCCAACCUACAUCUACAAAAUGGAAUGGGUCUGAUUCGCAAGUUUUCAGAGAAAGAAGCCAACCUUAAUCAGACUGUGAUAUGAUGAGGAAAUAAAACUUGCUGUGCUAAUCAACUGA